AGGAUGAACGCUGGCGGCGUGCCUAACACAUGCAAGUCGAACGUCCUGUCUCGCAAGAGGCAGGGAGUGGCGGACGGGUGAGUACCACGUGGGUCAUCUACCGUGAGGUGAGGAAUACCGGCGAGAAAUCGCCGACAAGACCGCAUAGGCUCGAUGCAAGUCGAGCAAAGCUCUUUCGAGAGAGGGAGCGCCACACGAGGAGCCUGCGCCCGAUUAGCUAGCUGGUGGAGUAACGGUUCACCAGGGCGACGAUCGGUAGCUGGUCUGAGAGGACGAUCAGCCACACUGGGAUUGAGAACGGCCCAGACUCCUACGGGGGGCAGCAGUGAGGAAUUUCGUCAAUGGGGGCAACCCUGAACGAGCAACGCCGCGUGCAGGAAGAAGGUUUUCGGAUCGUAAACUGCUUUUCGUCGGGAAGAGAACGGACGGUACCGAGGAAUCAGCCCGGCUAACUACGUGCCAGCAGCGC
rnacentral:rRNA from 1 species